CUGGUGACCCCCCACCACCCUUAAUGA
rnacentral:tRNA from 1 species